rnacentral:rRNA from 1 species
AUUGAACGCUGGCGGCAUGCCUUACACAUGCAAGUCGAACGGUAACAGGUCUUCGGAUGCUGACGAGUGGCGAACGGGUGAGUAAUGCAUCGGAACGUGCCCAGUAGUGGGGGGAUAGCCCGGCGAAAGCCGGAUUAAUACCGCAUACGACCUGAGGGUGAAAGGGGGGGAUCGCAAGACCUCUCGCUAUUGGAGCGGCCGAUGUCAGAUUAGCUAGUUGGUGGGGUAAAGGCCUACCAAGGCAACGAUCUGUAGUUGGUCUGAGAGGACGACCAGCCACACUGGGACUGAGACACGGCCCAGACUCCUACGGGAGGCAGCAGUGGGGAAUUUUGGACAAUGGGCGCAAGCCUGAUCCAGCAAUGCCGCGUGCAGGAAGAAGGCCUCGGUGUAACUAGCUUUGUCUAGGAG